UACGUAGGGGGCAAGCGUUGUCCGGAUUUAUUGGGCGUAAAGAGCGUGUAGGCGGUUCGGUAGGUCCGUUGUGAAAACUCGAGGCUCAACCUCGAGACGCCGAUGGAAACCAUCGAACUAGAGUCCGGAAGAGGAGAGUGGAAUUCCUGGUGUAGCGGUGAAAUGCGUAGAUAUCGGGAGGAACACCAGUGGCGAAGGCGACUACCUGGCCUGUUCUUGACGCUGAGGCGCGAAAGCUAGGGGAGCAAACGGG
rnacentral:rRNA from 1 species